GACGAACGCUGGCGGCGUGCUUAACACAUGCAAGUCGAACGGAAAGGCCCUGCUUUUGUGGGGUGCUCGAGUGGCGAACGGGUGAGUAACACGUGAGUAACCUGCCCUUGACUUUGGGGUAACUUCAGGAAACUGGGGCUAUUACCGGAUAGGAGCUCCUGCUGCAUGGUGGGGGUUGGAAAGUUUCGGCGGUUGGGGAUGGACUCGCGGCUUAUCAGCUUGUUGGUGGAGUAGUGGCUUACCAAGGCUUUGACGGGUAGCCGGCCUGAGAGGGUGACCGGCCACAUUGGGACUGAGAUACGGCCCAGACUCCUACGGGAGGCAGCAGUCGGGAAUAUUGCACAAUGGGCGGAAGCCUGAUGCAGCAACGCCGCGUGCGGGAUGACGGCCUUCGGGUUGUAAACCGCUUUCGCCUGUGACGAAGCGUGAGUGACGGUAAUGGGUAAAGAAGCACCGGCUAACUACGUG
rnacentral:rRNA from 1 species